rnacentral:rRNA from 1 species
AUCAACUUUCGAUGGUAGGAUAGAGGCCUACCAUGGUGGUAACGGGUAACGGGGUGUUAGGGCACGACACCGGAGAGGGAGCCUGAGAAACGGCUACCACAUCCAAGGAUGGCAGCAGGCGCGCAAAUUACCCAAUCCCGACACGGGGAGGUAGUGACAAUAAAUAACAAUACGGGGUUCUUUAGGAUCUCGUAAUUGGAAUGAGUACAAUUUAAAUCUCUUAACGAGGAACAAUUGGAGGGCAAGUCUGGUGCCAGCAGCCGCGGUAAUUCCAGCUCCAAUAGCGUAUAUUAAAGUUGUUGCAGUUAAAAAGCUCGUAGUUGAAUUUCGGGGUUAGUAGGUUGGUCAUGCCUCCGGUAUGUACUGAUCUCACUGAUUCCUCCUUCCUUAUGAACCGUAAUGCCAUUAAUUUGGUGUUGCGGGGAAUUUGGACUGUUACUUUGAAAAAAUUAGAGUGUUUAAAGCAGGCUAACGCUUGAAUACAUUAGCAUGGAAUAAUGAAAUAGGACGUUCGAUCUUAUUUUGUUGGUUUCUAGGAUUGACGUAAUGAUUAAUAGGGAUAGUUGGGGGCAUUAGUAUUCAAUUGUCAGAGGUGAAAUUCUUGGAUUUAUUGAAGACUAACUACUGCGAAAGCAUUUGCCAAGGAUGUUUUCAUUAAUCAAGAACGAAAGUUAGGGGAUCGAAGACGAUCAGAUACCGUCGUAGUCUUAACCAUAAACUAUGCCGACUAGGGAUCGGAUGAUGUUAAUUUUUUAAUGACUCAUUCGGCGCCUUACGGGAAACCAAAGUGUUUGGGUUC